GGGGUUGUGGCUCAGUGGUACAGCACUUGCCUAGCAUGCAUGAGGUACUGAGUUCGAUUCUCAGCACCA
rnacentral:tRNA from 1 species